AUCAAUUCGAAGAGUGUCCACUUCAAACACAGGGUAGAGAGAAUAAUUAGAUUCCAUUUCAAAGGGCAGGGUUUCAAGCAUUCUCCCUCUACCUAGAAGUAAAGGAGAAUUAUAGUCUACCUCACUAUCUUGAAUGUUCUCUUCACAGCCGGGCAGGGCCUGACACACAGCUUCAGUACACUGAGGACACAACCAAACCAGGUCUCGGAAAGUCUGCACCACCACUACAAUACAGGCCAGGGUACAAGAGCACAGGAUUAGAGCCUCCAGGUUCUCAAGAAGGAAAAGGAGCAGACACCUACCUAUGGCAAAGAUGGCAGCCUGUGCAAAGUCCGCAGACACAUCCGUGCAGUACCCUCGAAGCUCCUCUAGCACCUGCUGCACAUUCUCAUCGUUCACCAGCUCACACAGCACCUCCACUUUCUGUAGUUUGAUGUAGUGGGGCUCCGAGUAGGAGCAAAAAAACUUUUUGUAGUGGCUACUAAAGUGACCUGGUAAACUAUGCAAGAUCUGGCGUACAUGACAAAGAGCAACAAAACAGAGCUCACGGCUCUCUGAAGAACAGGCAGCUAGCAAAGGUCCCUUGACCCGCACAAGGACAUCAGUUUGUACGUGGGGAAACUUUUUUGCCAAGAUCAGAAAAAGUUUGGUAGCUCCCAUCACCACACCUGGGCUACUGCUCUUGAGGAAACUAUCCAACAGAUUGAGAAUGUCAAAUAGUUCUUCCUCACUGCGGGGUUGGUAGCGUAGCAGAAAGUUCAAUACUUCAGCCUGGCCCCAUUGGUCCAGUUUUGACAUUCUAUCCAAAAAAGAAAACAAAAGAGCUACUUUAGCAACAAAAUUAGGACCAUUUCCAUGCCACUGCCAUAUGACCAGAUGGUUGUUCAUCAUAGCAAAGGGAGAAUUCUUAAAAAUAGGCUGUGCCAUAAUUAAGUCACUUUUCAUGUACUAUUUAAAGUUUACACAAAAAAGGCUUAAAAUUCCAAGAUGAGUUGUUAAUACAAAUGCACACUCAUCUAAGACCAAAGACAUGAUCAGCAUACACUGGGUCCAGGUUCCUUACAUUUUAAGACACUAUAAAUGGCUUAGUUUGGGGGACAUGACUAGAGAAGGGUAGAACCUAUUUCCACAGUAUAUUUCUAUUUCCCUAUAUCAAUAAGGGAAAGUAAGGCAAAUAAAAGAAAUUCUCUCAGUGAAAUGUGAGGGAGUUAAUAGUGGUUAACUGGCCGGGCGCGGUGGCUCACGUCUGUAAUCCCAGCACUUUGGGAGGCUGAGGCGGGCGGAUCACCUGAGGUCAGAAGUUUGGGACCAGCCUGACCAACAUGGCGAAACCCUGUCUCUACUAAAAAUACAAAAUUAGCCGGGCGUGGUGGCGCAUGCCUAUAAUCCCAGCUACUCGGGAGGCUGAGGCAGGAGAAUUGCUUGAACCCAGGAGGCGGAGGUUGCGGUAAGCCGAGAUAGCGCCAUUGCACUCCAGCUUAGACAACAAGAGCAAAACUCCAUCUCAAAUAAUAAUAAUAAUAAUGGUUAACUUUCUUUUCUACCCCACAUAAGUUGUUCAAUACUUUAAUACAUCAACAAGAUCCCACAAGGUAGCAGAUCUCAUAAUAAAAAGAGUGCUGAGGCAUCCAAACCGAUUUAAGAGAUGGUGAGCAAUGGGCUUAUUGAUGACAACGCCUCCUUCCUGUUUCAGAAUUUCCUCUAGAGACCUCAAGCAGUUCACAACUACAAUUGGAUCCUGGUCACGCAGCAAACUGUAUAAUUCAUUUACCAGGGCACCAUCUAUAAAAAAGAACAAAGUUCUUAGAUAAAGAAGGAAAGCUU
rnacentral:lncRNA from 1 species